GCGCGAGUGGUGGAAUUGGUAGACACGCAGGUUUUAGGUACCUGUGCCUUCGGGCGUAGGGGUUCAAGUCCCCUCUUGCGCACUA
rnacentral:tRNA from 1 species